rnacentral:rRNA from 1 species
AUACGUAGGUGGCAAGCGUUGUCCGGAAUUACUGGGCGUAAAGGGCGUGUAGGUGGACUGAUCAGUCGGGUGUGAAAUAUCCGGGCUUAACCCGGAGGGUGCAUCCGAUACGGUCAGUCUUGAGUGCAGGAGAGGGCAGUGGAAUUCCCAGUGUAGCGGUGAAAUGCGUAGAGAUUAGGAAGAACACCAGUGGCGAAGGCGCUUCUCUGGACUGUAACUGACGCUGAGGCUCGAAAGCGUGGGGAGC